rnacentral:lncRNA from 1 species
UUUAAAGAAACAAAGAGGGACUGGGCUCAAAAUUGAGCGCAUAAAUGAGAACAAAAGGCAAACAUCCCCAACAAUUUUGAUUGGGCCAGUAACAGGCCCAGUUUUGUUACAUUAAACAGAAACGCUCAAUAAAUAAAAGAGUUAAAAGUAAUUGGCCUCGGAGUUGAGCCAAAACGAAAGGCUAACAUCAAUCCUAUAACCCAUAUCGAAAUUCGGUCGGGCUGCCUCGGCUGGGCCAUUGUCAAGCCCAAUUGAGACAACGUAUUCUGAAUCAAAUGUGAUCUAAAUAGCAUUUAACAUUUCAACAAAAUCAAAAGCUUAAUCAAAUAAAACAUAAGUUCAAUUAUCAACAGGUUGCUAACACCAACAAUAAAUCCAAACCUUAAACUCAUCCCUGAAUCAACCCCAAACUUAUAUACACGACCAUUUUAACAGAAUAUGACUUUGAGACAAUUUAAAUGAAUAUUCAGCAAUCAAACAUUGUCCUGUGAUGUACAUAUUCAAGCUUCCCUAAUAAAACCUAAUGAAUCAUUAUAGUUAUUAAGUGUCAUAACACUGUCAACAGUAUGGGCAGCUAAAAUAGUCUGACUAUUCAUACAAGGAACUCAACUAUAAAAAUACACUUUAAAUUCAGCAAGCUUGAGCAAAUCAAAACAGAAUUACUAAACUAAGUGACUUGCAAACAUCAUACAUCAAGGAAUCUGGAAAUUAACAUUUGAUAAACUAACUUCUUAUUACAGUAUAGUCCAAAAACAUGCUUAAACUGCAUUUUCCACUCAAAGGUUCAAAGUACAUGGAUAUCAAGAAACAAAACAAGAGUAGAUAAGAAUUUCAGCAAAGCAGAAGCAUGAGAAUGGUAGCAAAUAAAUAGCAAUACAUAGCUUCCUUAAUCCAUGUUUAAGCCCAGGAAACCGGAAAUCCAAUGAAAGCUCUUUUAAGAUCUUGCUACAGAAAAAAUCAGAAGCAGUCGAGCCAAUUCCCAAUGAAACAAUGCAGAAACGUUUUAAUUUUUUUAGGGUUCAGAAAUCUCUAUUAGCGUAUCCAAAUGAGUGAAGAGAGGGUAUUCUUUAUAGGCCUAAAAAUGCUAUGUGUUGAAAAACAGAAUCAGGGAAUUAUUCUUUCAGCCAUGAGGCAUCUUUUUAACAAACGUGGACAGCUGUUGUCCCUUAUUUGGCUUUUGCACUUUAUGCGAACCAAAUGAGGCUAGUUGCCCCUAUUCUAGACCAUUCUUUCAUUGGCCUUAUCUGAAAUCCUCAUUUCAUAGGGUCCCAUGACCCCCCUUAAGUUUCUUUAUUAUUCAAUUAACCCCUACAAGUUCUAAAUGACUUACAAACUAUGGAAAACGGAAAUAAAUAAGAAAAUAGACAAAUCAAAAGCAAAUAACAAAGUUGAAAGUGAACAUCUGGAAACUUAACGUAAUUCUAACCUCCAAAUGAGCCAAAUUUGUAAUGAAACACCACAAAUGUUCUUCAGACUAACAAUUUUGAUGGUGACAAUAUGAGAUGACCGAAUACAAACUGAACAUAGGCAGUAAUUAAACCAAGAUAUUAAAAGUUAAACAUAAGUAAACAAACCAAUAACUAUGACUAAUAAUAAACUAAACUUGUUUUACGAGUUAAAUGGAUUAAAUAAAUUAUAAACCAUAACCGAACAAACUGAUGAUUCUAAGGCUAGAUACAUAGAUUAAGGAACCAUAAAACCUACUGACUAAGCAUGAUAAAAACUCUAACAUUCCACAGAUUAAGGCUAACCAACCAUUCUUUAUUUUUCGGUCAAAGAACGGGAAAAUAGAAGAAGACGGAGUGAAGAAGGAGAAGAAGAUAAAACAAAAAGAGAAGAAAUAGAAAGAGAAGACGAAGAUUAGAAAUACCUAAUUAGACGGGCGACAGUAAGCUUAGGCGGGACCCCGGCCUUCUCCAAAUUAAAUCGAAAUAAGUGUUAAUCGGAUGUUCUUGCUGAGAACACAUGACUAACACCAGUUUCAGGCCUAAAUUACCUUUAGAAACUCGAAAGCAUGGAACUCAAGCUUUGCAUGACAAAUCGGAGACAGGAACGGGUCUAGGAUUUUCAUUUAGAUCUGGAACUAGUGAAAAGGGUGAGAAUUUUGGGGAAAUCAACACUGGACUAGUGUUUUAAAAGAGUGUAAGGGGUGUGGGGUUACUUGCGCGCCAUGGCAUUUUGGGGUUGAACUCUCAGAUUUGAAAUCGGUGGGAUUUUGGUGGGAUUUAAUGAAAAAGAUUGAUGGAUUUGGAAAGAAGGGGGUGAGAAUUGCAUGGUUAAAUUUUGGGGUGGUUUGGAGACGGACCGCCACCGUAAGGCAAUUUCCGGUAGUGGCUUGAAGGGUUUAGGGGUGGCUAGGGUUUCACUUUAGAGAUGGUAAGAGACGGAAAUGAGGGGGUUGAUUGGGGGGGG